rnacentral:lncRNA from 1 species
GGACUGACCGAACAGAGUCUAAGCUUGUGCCAUAGUAGUUGUUCUUAUACUCGCCGUACUCGAUAAACUUGUUAUUCUGUACGUCUGUCUCAAACAAGUGCUUGGAAAUGAAAAUGUAUUCAACACCAUCGCUUUCUUGGCUUCUUCUUGCUCGGGUGGUGUGUGGCACUGUUACGCCAUAAUGCUGCGUGUCACUGAUCAGCAAUUUUCGUUUAAGCUCAUUCAGUC